GGAUAGAGGGAGAUUUCUGGUUCGUGCGCACGGUUUGAUAGUAAUUCAUUGCUGGGAUAUCGGCGAACUGUUGCCAUGAUGUCUGGAGAUGGGCAAAGCAAUUGCAUUACUAGUAAGGGGAACUUCAUAAAGAGGUUCAGCAGCCUGUUGGCAGUAAGUUCCACUUGCAACACCUUCUAUAAUGUUUAUAACAAUAACAAAGACAAGUAUCCUGUAGUCGCAUCAGUUUGGGAGAUUUCUGAGGAAGGAAUUAAGAGAAUCACGGCUGUAGCUCUGAAAAGCAUCCAGCCAGUUCUUCAGAAGUUUCAAC